UACGUAGGGUGCGAGCGUUGUCCGGAAUUAUUGGGCGUAAAGGGCUCGUAGGCGGUUUGUCGCGUCGGGAGUGAAAUCCACUGGCUUAACUGGUGGCUUGCUUUCGAUACGGGCAGACUGGAGGUAUGCAGGGGAGAACGGAAUUCCUGGUGUAGCGGUGAAAUGCGCAGAUAUCAGGAGGAACACCGGUGGCGAAGGCAGCUCGCUACACUAUUAUUGACGCUGAGGCACGAAAGCGUGGGGAUCAAACAGG
rnacentral:rRNA from 1 species